rnacentral:rRNA from 1 species
GACGAACGCUGGCGGCGUGCCUAAUACAUGCAAGUAGAACGCACAGUUUAUACCGUAGCUUGCUACACCAUAAACUGUGAGUUGCGAACGGGUGAGUAACGCGUAGGUAACCUGCCUGGUAGCGGGGGAUAACUAUUGGAAACGAUAGCUAAUACCGCAUAAUAUUGAUUAUUGCAUGAUAAUUGAUUGAAAGAUGCUAUUGCAUCACUACCAGAUGGACCUGCGUUGUAUUAGCUAGUAGGUGAGGUAACGGCUCACCUAGGCGACGAUACAUAGCCGAACUGAGUGGGUGAUUGGCCACCCUGGGACUGGGACACGGCCCAGACUCCUACGGGAGGCAGCAGUAGGGAAUCUUCGGCAAUGGACGAAAGUCUGACCGAGCAAAGCCGCGUGAGUGAAGAAGGUCUUCGGAUCGGAAAGCUCUGUUGUAAGAGAAGAACGGGUGUGAGAGUGGAAAGUUCACACUGUGACGGUAUCUUAACAGAAAGGGACGGCUAACUACGUG